rnacentral:rRNA from 1 species
GGACGGGUGAGUAACACGUGGAUAACCUACCUAUAAGACUGGGAUAACUCGGGAAACCGGAGCUAAUACCGGAUAAUAUAUUGAACCGCAUGGUUCAAUAGUGAAAGACGGUUUUGCUGUCACUUAUAGAUGGAUCCGCGCCGCAUUAGCUAGUUGGUAAGGUAACGGCUUACCAAGGCAACGAUGCGUAGCCGACCUGAGAGGGUGAUCGGCCACACUGGAACUGAGACACGGUCCAG